AGAGUUUGAUCAUGGCUCAGGAUGAAUGCUGGCGGCGUGCCUAACACAUGCAAGUCGAGCGGCAGCGAGGGGUGCUUGCACCCUGUCGGCGAGCGGCGAACGGCUGAGUAACGCGUAGGAAUUUGCCCCAAAGUGAGGAAUAACUGCCCGAAAGGGUAGCUAAUGCCGCAUAUGGUCUUCGGAUUAAAGGAUUUAUCCGCUUUGGGAGAAGCCUGCGUUGGAUUAGGUUGUUGGUAGGGUAAUGGCCUACCAAGCCGACGAUCCAUAGCUGGUCUGAGAGGAUGAUCAGCCAGACUGGAACUGAGACACGGUCCAGACUCCUACGGGAGGCAGCAGUGAGGAAUCUUCCACAAUGGGCGAAAGCCUGAUGGAGCAACGCCGCGUGAAGGAUGAAGGCUUUCGGGUUGUAAACUUCUUUUAUGAGUGAAGAAUAUGACGGUAACUCAUGAAUAAGCACCGGCUAACUACGUGCCAGCAGCCGCGGUCAUACGUAGGGUGCAAGCAUUAUCCGGAGUGACUGGGCGUAAAGAGUUGCGUAGGCGGUUUAAUAAGUGAAUAGUGAAACCUGGUGGCUCAACCAUACAGACUAUUAUUCAAACUGUUAAACUCGAGAAUGGUAGAGGUAACUGGAAUUUCUUGUGUAGGAGUGAAAUCCGUAGAUAUAAGAAGGAACACCAAUGGCGUAGGCAGGUUACUGGGCCAUUUCUGACGCUAAGGCACGAAAGCGUGGGGAGCGAACCGGAUUAGAUACCCCGGUAGUCCAA
rnacentral:rRNA from 1 species